rnacentral:rRNA from 1 species
GACGAACGCUGGCGGCGUGCUUAACACAUGCAAGUCGAACGGAAAGGCCUCUUUCGGGGGGUACUCGAGUGGCGAACGGGUGAGUAACACGUGAGUAACCUGCCCUUGACUUUGGGAUAACUUCAGGAAACUGGGGCUAAUACCGGAUAGGAGCUCCUGCUGCAUGGUGGGGGUUGGAAAGUUUCGGCGGUUGGGGAUGGACUCGCGGCUUAUCAGCUUGUUGGUGGGGUAGUGGCUUACCAAGGCUUUGACGGGUAGCCGGCCUGAGAGGGUGACCGGCAACAUGGGAACUGAGAUACGGCCAAAACUCCUACGGGAGGAAGAAGGGGGGAAAAUGGCAAAAGGGGGGGAAGCCUGAUGCAGCAACGCCGGGGGCGGGAGAACGGCCUUCGGUUGUUAACCGGCUUUCGCUAAUGACGAAGCUUUGUGUGAGGGUAGUGGUAAAGGAAGCACCGGUAACUACGUG